CUCCUCCUCCUCCUCCUCCUCCUCCUCCUCCUGCUGCUGCUGCCCGCGGGCUACCCGCGAGGCCUUGGGGCGCCGCCGCCAGAGCGAUCGCGGCUCCUUUAUUCGCCGCUCGGCCGCGGACGCGCCGUGAGCUAACUGCCGGCCGUGCGGGGCCGCUGCGGGCACGCGUGGGCCAAACUGGAGCAAAAGCGGCGCAAAUAAAGCAAGGCCUGCCGGCGGUUACCUUCUAUUUAAAAAGAGUAAAUAAAUAAAAAACGACGAAGAUAAUAAUCCCUGCCCGGUAAGUAAGGGUGCAGCGGAGCGCAGCCAUCCGCGGCGGUGGUUUCGCGGCGUGCCGGGGCCGAGCCGCGGCCCUGCCUGCCUCUGCGCGCGGGGCUGCCCGCCCGGCCCGCCCUGACGCGGGGCGCAGCCCCAGGUGGGCUCUGCUCGCUGGAUCCGUCGCUCCCCGCGUUUCGUGCGUCUCAAAAUGUCCGUGCCUCCCCUUGUGUAACAAUCCCCGCUCCUGUGUUUGGGCUCCGUUUUAAAUAAACGCUUCGGCUCCAUCGAAAUGGCAAUGAGAUCAUCCAGCAUCUAAUAAAGGCUGACAAAAUAAA